CCUACGGGUGGUGCAGUGGGGAAUAUUGCACAAUGGGCGCAAGCCUGAUGCAGCCAUGCCGCGUGUGUGAAGAAGGCCUUCGGGUUGUAAAGCACUUUCAGCGGGGAGGAAGGCGGUGAGGUUAAUAACCUCAUCGAUUGACGUUACCCGCAGAAGAAGCACCGGCUAACUCCGUGCCAGCAGCCGCGGUAAUACGGAGGGUGCAAGCGUUAAUCGGAAUUACUGGGCGUAAAGCGCACGCAGGCGGUCUGUCAAGUCGGAUGUGAAAUCCCCGGGCUCAACCUGGGAACUGCAUUCGAAACUGGCAGGCUAGAGUCUUGUAGAGGGGGGUAGAAUUCCAGGUGUAGCGGUGAAAUGCGUAGAGAUCUGGAGGAAUACCGGGGGCGAAGGCGGCCCCCUGGACAAAGACUGACGCUCAGGUGCGAAAGCGUGGGGAGCAAACAGGAUUAGAUACCCGAUAGUC
rnacentral:rRNA from 1 species